GGCAAGAUGGCCGAGUUGGUCCAAGGCGUCAGGUUAAGGCCCACCUUAAUAAUCCAGCUUCAUAAGCUUCCUGAUCAUCGUUUGAUGGCGUGGGUUCGAAUCCCACUCUUGUCA